ACGCUUGGGUUUCCUUUUAAGGAGGAGAGUGGUCAUGCGCGCCUGAAGCAGACAGGUAGAGAGGCGCCAGCGUGGCUUCAAGUUGCUCGUUGCUCGUUGCUCGUUGCUCCAUGACAGGGCGGCUUACUUUUGGUAAGUUCCCUACUACGCUUCCCACUCUAGAGAGAGAGUGUGUGCUAUAAAUACCUUACCUUCCCAUCCCUCUUUCUUUUUCUCCAUUUUACUUUUUCUCUCUCCUCCUUUUUCUCUCUCUACUCCUGUCUCACAUGUUCCGUGCCCAGUUAAAAUACCCCCUCACUAACUUUCUCUCUCUCCUCCUGUGUAAGUCGUUGUAACUCUGUGAUCUACGUGUGUACCUGUACUCUCUCUCCUUUUUCUUUGUACGCUCUCUCUCUCUCUAGGUGUACUCUCUCCUUUCCUUUGUAUGCUCUCUCUCUCUCUAGCUGCUCUCUCUCCCUUUUCUUUGUAUUCUCUAUCUCUCUCUCUCUCUUCCUGUGUGUUGCCAUUGCCCGAUAUUUCGACUCCAGGUUCAUGCCAAAACAGGCUUCAUUUCCCUUCUCUCUCUACGUUCAUCUAAAUCGGGCUUCUUUCCUCUCUCUCUCUCUCUCUCUAAAAUGGUAUUUCAUAUGGUGGAAAUUUUUGCUAGUUUGAUGUACUUUUUCCUAACUUUGGCUUCAAGCCAUAUUUUUCGUACUCCUCUCCAUCAAUUCUUAAGACUAUCAGCACUACUCCUAAUUAUAAAGAAUUGCAUGCACCAGAUCUUUAAUUUGGGUUUUUUUAUGGAAUAUUACUGGGAAUUAUUAAGUUAAUCAACAAUCUUUAAUAAAAAGAAACAAAUUAUCCUGCCCAUAUAUUUGGAAUGAUUUUUUUAUGGUAUUUUUGGAAUCUAAUUUUCUAUGUAACUUAUACCCUUCAUCUACACAAAUUUAUGGCACAUAAUUUUAUUUUGAAUUGAACAUAAAUUUAUUUUACAAAAUUAAUACAAAGUGGAAAUAAAAGGAAAAAAACAGCUAUCUUUUCAUUGGGGUUUCAAGAAAAAGUGAUAUUUGUCACUAUUAUUAGAAACAUACGCCUAAUUUUGAUCUAUACUUUCCGC
rnacentral:lncRNA from 1 species